rnacentral:rRNA from 1 species
UGGCGACCGGCGCACGGGUGAGUAACACGUAUGGAACCUGCCCGCAGCAGGGGGAUAAGCGGAAGAAAUUCCGUCUAAUACCGCGUAACACCGCGGAGGGGCAUCCCUCGGCGGUUAAAGAUUCAUCGGCUGCGGAUGGCCAUGCGGCGCAUUAGCCAGUCGGCGGGGUAACGGCCCACCGAGGCGACGAUGCGUAGGGGUUCUGAGAGGAAGGUCCCCCACACUGGUACUGAGACACGGACCAGACUCCUACGGAAGGCAGCAG